rnacentral:rRNA from 1 species
GACGAACGCUGGCGGCGUGCUUAACACAUGCAAGUCGAACGGAAAGGCCCUGCUUGCCGGGUACUCGAGUGGCGAACGGGUGAGUAACACGUGGGUUAUCUGCCCUGCACUUCGGGAUAAGCCUGGGAAACUGGGUCUAAUACCGGAUAGGAGCCAUUUUUAGUGUGAUGGUUGGAAAGUUUUUUCGGUGUAGGAUGAGCUCGCGGCCUAUCAGCUUGUUGGUGGGGUAAUGGCCUACCAAGGCGGCGACGGGUAGCCGGCCUGAGAGGGUGGACAGCCACAUUGGGACUGAGAUACGGCCCAGACUCCUACGGGAGGCAGCAGUGGGGAAUAUUGCACAAUGGGCGCAAGCCUGAUGCAGCGACGCCGCGUGGGGGAUGACGGCCUUCGGGUUGUAAACUCCUUUCGCUAGGGACGAAGCUUUUUGUGACGGUACCUAGAGAAGAAGCACCGGCUAACUACGUG